ACUAAUUUCAGAGCCCUGCUGCAAUGCUUCUGAUGCCAAAGGUUGCGUGAACUUCAACCUGACUGACUUCGCAACGGCUGCUUCAAAGUUUGAACACCUUUGCUCAAAAUAUUUCAAACUGGACUGGGCCGAGUUCAAAAAAGCGGUUCAGGGAGACAUGCAAAGUGAAGCCCCGGCGGCGGCGGAGGCGGCGAGCCAGAACCACGACGAAGCCAGGGCUCAGGUCUUGACAAAUUUCGCCUCAAGCUGCUGCUCCCGAUACGCACCGGCAAGGAAAUGCAAAAACAUGGUAGAAGAAAUGACGGUGUGCAAGAAGGACGACUGUUGAGUACCCGGAUGAUGUGACGCCCGACAGGUGGAAUGCAGCAGAGAUGGAAAGGGACAAAUACAUGCAGACACAAAC